GACGAACGCUGGCGGCGUGCUUAACACAUGCAAGUCGAACGGUGAAGGGGUCUGCUUUUGUGGGCCCUGGAUGAGUGGCGAACGGGUGAGUAACACGUGAGUAACCUGCCCCCUUCUUCUGGAUAACCGCAUGAAAGUGUGGCUAAUACGGGAUAUUCUGGGUCUGUCGCAUGAUGGGUCUGGGAAAGAUUGCGCCUUUGGGUGUUUUUGGUGGGGGAUGGGCUCGCGGCCUAUCAGCUUGUUGGUGGGGUGAUGGCCUACCAAGGCGGUGACGGGUAGCCGGCCUGAGAGGGUGGACGGUCACACUGGGACUGAGACACGGCCCAGACUCCUACGGGAGGGAGCAGUGGGGAAUAUUGCACAAUGGGCGCAAGCCUGAUGCAGCGACGCCGCGUGAGGGAUGGAGGCCUUCGGGUUGUAAACCUCUUUCGCCAGUGAAGCAGGCCUGCUCCUUGUGGGUGGGUUGACGGUAGCUGGAUAAGAAGCGCCGGCUAACUACGUG
rnacentral:rRNA from 1 species